CACUGAGAUUUGCACAGAUUCUGUGAAUUUUGGUUUUCCAUCUGUCACCUGAAGAGGCAGAUCACACAUCCCCCUUUGACAUAAAGUUCUUCCACAUUUGCCGAGCAUUGUGUUAAAUACCUGACGUGGAAGUGUGCAGCGGGGACAGUCGCAAGUCCCACUUCAUGGAAUGAGAAACAGGCUCGGAGAGGGGCAGGCCGGGUCAGGCCUGGGUUGAAGCCGGGAGUCCGAGGCUCGCCGAUGUCUCAGGGCAGAGGUCCCCACAUGCAGGGCCCGCCAGCCCCUCAGAGCUCUGCCCUCGGGUGCAAAAACAGCAAAAGGCCUCUCAAGUCAUUUCCAGCCUCCUUUGCUGCAUUCGCUUGAUGGAGCAGGUGCCGGAGCCUCACUGUGGGUGUCCCUGUGCCUCUCCGCUCUGCCGCCUGGCUCGGAGCCUCGCUGUGGGUGUCCCUGUGCCUCCCCGCUCUGCCGCCUGGCUCGGGUCAGCCAGCUAGAAAAGCCCCUGCGCAUCGGCGUGGAAACGCACCGCUCUGUCUCUGAACGUGGUGUUUUUCCUUUCACUUCUGAGAUCAGUGAAUAUGCACGAGACGGCGUGGAAGGGCACAGCGACCGGGGCAGUGCGGAUUUUAUAAACGACCAACUCACACGCGGCCCAGCCGCGGUCCUGGCGGCUGCUGCUGAAGAGAUAUUCGCGCCGGACAGACAGAAGGCGACACUAAAAAGCCAACAUAGCAGACAACCGUCCAGUGGUGGCGAAGGAGCAAGCUGGUGCCUUCGAGGCAGGUGCCCAGCGCUGCUGUCCAAGAGCGAACAGCACUUAAUUAAAGAAUACAGCAGAGUUUCAAGAGAAUCUGCAAAGGACGAAACCUGAGCACGAGAGGAAAGGCACUGGAGUCUUGUGAUUAGAAACUGUCUCGGAUCAGUUAGGUGCAAAGGGAAACGGCCACCGCCUUUGUAUGGAGAAAUCUAGCCAGUCACCUGGCCAGGUGGGAUGUGUAGGCCUCUUUGUGCCCCAGUGCUGUGGUUGCUGCUUUACAAAAAAUGAAGAAAAGAAAACAGCCCGGGUUCAAUCCUCCAGUGAAAUGAAGCGCACAGAGUAUUGAGUGACAUAGUGCCCCAGCAAAAUCCUCAUGGGGAGGGCAGGGCGGACGUCAGAGAUGUGGCGGGACUCCUGCUCUGCGCAUCUUACAGUGGAGCUGGGUGAGGAAAUAGCCCAUUGGAGCAAUUGAUUACAUAAUUAUUAAGUGUGGGGAUUCUGGUACUGGCUUGAAAGAAAGUAACAUUGUGUGGCCAGGAGGGAGCCGAGUAGCUUGAAGUCGCCUGGAGCUGUGGGUGGGCUUGGGGCAGCUCUGAAGGGCUGCAAAGAUAGUGGUGGGGGGAGCAGGCACCCCAACAAUAGAAAGGUUGCGCCCAGGGGCUGAGCAGAAGGAGACCCCCGCCUGGUCUGGACAAGGGAAACGUCAGCCGAAGAGCUCACAGAGAUUACGAGCUCAAAAGAACCACACGUUCCUUCGCUUAAGCAAAGAGCUGGUAGUUUCCAGUGAGCACGUCUUCCUUGAAGUGUUUCAUUCUCCCGGGUUUGGCCUGGAAACGCAGCCCUGGUCUUGGCACGUUCCCACGGGGAGGAGCUUUGCGCGAGGCUGGUCUGCCUGCUGCAGAGGCAAAUUCUCUCCUGCCAUCCUCAGAUACGGCCAGGGUGACUGUCAGGAGAUCGGCCCAUCCUUCCCCCAAAUACGCUGCUUCCACAAGGCUCAGAGUUUUGAGAAGAAUGAUUUGUUUCCCCUAUUUUGCGCAACACGGCGUUCACCGGCUGUCUGCACGCGAGGCAGCGCGGCCCCAGAGCUGACGGAAGCGGCGGACAGGGUCCCUUUCUAGCCCUGGAGGACGAGCAAGAGCAAGUGCACAUAUUACCUUUGCGGGUCACCUGUUCUUCCUCCUACGGCACUAUAAACUCCUCCCAUGCUACAAAAGCUUAAAAACAAACCAGCCAAUUUUGUUUAGUAGAAAUGUCUGAUCUGACUGUCAUCUAGGGCCGUGACAAAGUUCCAUUUGACAGCAGGACCUGGAAGCC
rnacentral:lncRNA from 1 species